GCAAUACGGAGCGGCAGACGGGAGAGUAACACGUGGGAACGUGCCCUUUGGUCCGGAACAGCCCAGGGAAACUUGGGCUAAUACCGGAUAAGUCCGUAAGGAGAAAGAUUUAUCGCCAAAGGAUCGGCCCGCGUCUGAUUAGCUAGUUGGUGAGGUAACGGCUCACCAAGGCGACGAUCAGUAGCUGGUCUGAGAGGAUGAUCAGCCUCACUGGGACUGAGACACGGCCCAGACUCCUACGGGAGGCAGCAGUGGGGAAUAUUGGACAAUGGGCGCAAGCCUGAUCCAGCCAUGCCGCGUGGGUGAUGAAGGCCCUAGGG
rnacentral:rRNA from 1 species